rnacentral:misc_RNA from 1 species
GAUGAAGAACGCAGCGAAAUGCGAUACGUAAUGUGAAUUGCAGAAUUCAGUGAAUCAUCGAAUCUUUGAACGCACAUUGCGCCUGCCAGCACUCUGGCAGGCAUGCCUGUUCGAGCGUCAUUUCAACCAUCAAGCCCUAGGCUUGCGUUGGAGCCCUGCGGCUGCCGCAGGCCCCUAAAAGCAGUGGCGGGCUCGCUAUCACACCGAGUGCAGUAGAUUACUCUUCGCUCAGGGCGUGUGGCGGGUUCCAGCCGUGAAACCCCCUACUUCUCAUGGUUGACCUCGGAUCAGGUAGGAAUACCCGCUGAACUUAAGCAUAUCAAUAAGCGGAGGA